rnacentral:rRNA from 1 species
ACUCCUACGGGAGGCAGCAGUGGGGAAUAUUGGACAAUGGACCAAAAGUCUGAUCCAGCAAUUUCUGUGUGUUUGAUGAAGGCCUUCGGUUGUAAGAACUUUCAGUGGGGAAGAAGCAAGUGACGGUACCCACAGAAGAAGCGACGGCUAAAUACGUGCCAGCAGCCGCGGUAAUACGUAUGUCGCAAGCGUUAUCCGGAAUUAUUGGGCAUAAAGGGCGUCUAGGCGGUCUAAUAAGUCUGAUGUGAAAAAUGCGGGCUCAACUCCGUAUUGCGUUUGGAAACUGUUAGACUAGAGUUUUGGAGAGGUAGGCGGAACUACAAGUGUAAGAGGUGAAAAUUCGUAGAGAUUUGUAGGAAUGCCGAUGACGAAGGUAGCUUACUGGACAAAUACUGACGCUGAAAGCGCGAAAGCUACGGGGAGCGAAACAGGAUUAGAUACCUGUAGGUCAGUC